rnacentral:rRNA from 1 species
UACGAGCGGCCCAAACGUUAUUCGGAAUUACUGGGCUUAAAGAGUUCGUAGGCGGCGCAGUAAGUAGGGUGUGAAAGCCCUCGGCUCAACCGAGGAAUUGCGCCCUAAACUACUGUGCUCGAGGGACCUAGAGGUGAGCAGAACAGAUGGUGGAGCGGUGAAAUGCGUUGAUAUCAAGAGGAACACCUGCGGCGAAGGCGGGUUGCUGGGCCGACACUGACGCUGAGGCGCGAAAGCCAGGGGAGCGAACGGG